CGAACGAUGAAGCCGGAGCUUGCUCUGGUGGAUUAGUGGCGAACGGGUGAGUAACACGUGAGUAACCUGCCCCUGACUCUGGGAUAAGCGCUGGAAACGGCGUCUAAUACCGGAUAUGCGCUGUAACCGCAUGGUUUGCAGCGGGAAAGAUUUAUCGGUUGGGGAUGGACUCGCGGCCUAUCAGCUUGUUGGUGAGGUAAUGGCUCACCAAGGCGUCGACGGGUAGCCGGCCUGAGAGGGUGACCGGCCACACUGGGACUGAGACACGGCCCAGACUCCUACGGGAGGCAGCAGUGGGGAAUAUUGCACAAUGGGCGCAAGCCUGAUGCAGCAACGCCGCGUGAGGGAUGACGGCCUUCGGGUUGUAAACCUCUUUUAGCAGGGAAGAAGCCUUCGGGUGACGGUACCUGCAGAAAAAGCGCCGGCUAACUACGUGCCAGCAGCCGCGGUAAUACGUAGGGCGCAAGCGUUAUCCGGAAUUAUUGGGCGUAAAGAGCUCGUAGGCGGUUUGUCACGUCUGCUGUGAAAACUGGAGGCUCAACCUCCAGCCUGCAGUGGGUACGGGCAGACUAGAGUGCGGUAGGGGAGAUUGGAAUUCCUGGUGUAGCGGUGGAAUGCGCAGAUAUCAGGAG
rnacentral:rRNA from 1 species